rnacentral:rRNA from 1 species
CCAAUAGCGUAUAUUAAAGUUGUUGCAGUUAAAAAGCUCGUAGUUGAAUUUCGGGAUUAAUUUAUUGGUCGUGCAAUAGUACGUACUGGUAUUAUUGAUUCCUACCUUCUGACGAACCAUGAUGUCAUUAAUUUGGUGUCAUGGGGAAUCAGGACUGUUACUUUGAAAAAAUUAGAGUGUUUAAAGCAGGCUCACGCUUGAAUACAUUAGCAUGGAAUAACGAAAUAGGACGUUUGAUUCUAUUUUGUUGGUUUCUAGGAUCGACGUAAUGAUUAAUAGGGAUAGUUGGGGGCAUUAGUAUUCAAUUGUCAGAGGUGAAAUUCUUGGAUUUAUUGAAGACUAACUACUGCGAAAGCAUUUGCCAAGGAUGUUUUCAUUAAUCAAGAACGAAAGUUAGGGGAUCGAAGACGAUCAGAUACCGUCGUAGUCUUAACCAUAAACUAUGCCGACUAGGGAUCGGAUGAUGUUAAUUUUUUAAUGACUCAUUCGGCGCCUUAC